rnacentral:rRNA from 1 species
AGUGGAUGGGGAGCAACCUAGUUGUGCGUGUGUAAAGGUAGUGCCAAGAAAAGCGAUGAUCAUGUUGAAAAUCAAUUCCCGGUACCCGAAACCGACACAGGUGGGCAAGUAGAGAAUACUAAGGGGCGCGAGGUAACUCUCUCCAAGGAACUCGGCAAAAUGACCCCGUAACUUAGGGAGAAGGGGUGCCACCGAGAGGUGGUCGCAGUGAAGAGGCCCAGGCGACUGUUUAGCAAAAACAUAGGUCUCUGCAAACUCGAAAGAGGAGGUAUAGGGGCUGACGCCUGCCCAGUGCCGGAAGGUUAAAGAAGUUGGUCAGUCUUAGGAUGAAGCUAGCGACUGAAGCCCCGGUGAACGGCGGCCGUAACUAUAACGGUCCUAAGGUAGCGAAAUUCCUUGUCGGGUAAGUUCCGACCCGCACGAAAGGCGAAACGAUCUGGGCGCUGUCUCGGAGAGAGGCUCGGCGAAAUAGGAUUGUCUGUGAAGAUACGGACUGCCUGCAUUUGGACAGAAAGACCCUAUGAAGCUUUACUAUAUCUUGGAAUUGUGUUCGGGCUUCCUGUGCGCAGGAUAGGUGGGAGGCGAAGAAGGUAUUCUUGUGGGGAUACUGGAGCCAACGGUGAGAUACCACUCUCAGGAGGCUAGAAUUCUAACUUAAUUAAGGACAGUUUCAGGUGGGUAGUUUGACUGGGGCGGUCGCCUCCAAAAAGGUAACGGAGGCGUACAAAGGUUCCCUCAGACUGGUUGGAAAUCAGUCGAAGAGUGCAAAGGCAGAAGGGAGCUUGACUGCGAGAAGUACAGUUCGAGCAGGGUGGAAACACGGUCUUAGUGAUCCGACGGUGCUGUGUGGAAGGGCCGUCGUUCAACGGAUAAAAGUUACUCUAGGAUAACAGGCUGAUCUCCCCCAAGAGUUCACAUCGACGGGGAGGUUUGGCACCUCGAUGUCGGCUCAUCGCAACCUGGGGCGGAAGUACGUCCCAAGGGUUGGGCUGUUCGCCCAUUAAAGCGGUACGUGAGCUGGGUUCAGAACGUCGUGAGACAGUUCGGUCCAUAUCCGAUGUAGGCGUGAGAAUAUUGAGAGGGGCCUUCCUUAGUACGAGAGGACCGGGAAGGACGCACCGCUGGUGUACCUGUUAUGAUGCCAAUUGUAAACGCAGGGUAGCCAAGUGCGGAGAGGAUAACCGCUGAAAGCAUCUAAGUGGGAAGCCCACCUCAAGAUGAGUAUUCUGGUGUAAGGUCACGGGAAGACGACCCGUAAAUAGGCACGAGGUGGAAGUGCAGAGAUGUAUGAAGCCGAAGUGUACUAAUAGACCGUCGGCUUGAUC